UUUAAAAUCUUUGUUUGAUCAGUUUAACUAGGAAUAACUUCAAUUCUGAUUUAGGAACCGUACUCAAUGUGUGCAGUCUCUUUUUCACUUAGUUUUUGCAUUUUAUCUUCUCUGUCCAUUCAAUUUAACCAUGCCUUAGUCAAUGAGGCAAUCUUUUAAAUAUGACCUUCAUGUGCUCUGUAUAUUCCAGUGACAACCUUGAAGAUGAAGCAAACCCAUCAGAUGAGACCAGCACAAAUACAUUGGUUGAAUCUGACACUGAAGACCUUACCUAGCCACUUCUGUUGUGCAACCCUUUUUCUUAUGCCUUUUGUCAUGCUGUGUAACUUUUUGUGAUGAGGACCAUUCUCUAUUUUUUUGGUAAUACUAAUGGCCUUCCGAAAACAAUCAACCAAAAUAGCAGAACAUCUACUGAUUAAUGUACAUAAAAGGUAUCAAAGUUGAUUGUUCAACAGUGUGACUAAGUACAGCGCAUGACAACUGUGGAAGUGCACAUCAACCUCAAAUCUAGAUGAGGAAGGAUGCAUAAAUGAGUUGUUAUCUGUGAUUCCAAGUCUUGGUUGCAUUGAUAACUUCUAAAGUAAGGAACAGUCAUGAAGUUUAUGAAACUUCCUUGCACUGAUAACUUCUCACGCUAUAAGGUCACACAAUGUCCACUUCUGUCGAGGUGUUUAGGCUACAGAAGUUCUGUUAUGGAAUCACAAUCACCCUCAGUGCCCACAACAUUGUAGCUGCUAGCAGAAGUGCUGAGUUCUUGGACAACUGAGGAAGUUGAGAAGGGAAACUUGAUAUAUAAGCUUCAAGCGUUCCUCAAAUCUUUCAUACUCCAUGGCUGGAGCCUGGAGGGACGGAAUUUCCACUCUACAAAGCACGACCUUUCAGAUCAGUACACAAAUGAGCUUCAGGGUGGUUGUACGAAGUGUUAAAUGAACAUGUGAAAGAUUUGUUUGAAACUGAAAACUUCAUUUCAUUAUUGUUAGUUGUUAGUUCACUUAGAACAGCAGAAAUUGAUAAUUGUUGUACACCCCUAAAUGCAGUUAUUUUUGUCUAUACAAGCGGUUUUAUUUGUAAUAAUAGUAAGUCCCGCGGCAAAGCGCGGGCAAAUUUUCUAGUGAAUGAAUAUAUGAAUCCAAUCUUAAGCUAGCUUUUGUUCCUUUUU